rnacentral:rRNA from 1 species
GACGAACGCUGGCGGCGUGCUUAACACAUGCAAGUCGAACGGAAAGGCCCUUCUUUUGGGGGGUGCUCGAGUGGCGAACGGGUGAGUAACACGUGAGUAACCUGCCCUUUACGUUGGGAUAACUUCAGGAAACUGGGGUUAAUACCGGAUAGGAGCUCCUGCUGCAUGGUGGGGGUUGGAAAGUUUCGGCGGUUGGGGAUGGACGCGCGGCUUAUCAGCUUGUUGGUGGGGUGGUGGCUUACCAAGUCUUUGACGGGUAGCCGGCCUGAGAGGGUGACCGGCAAAAUUGGGACUGGGAUACGGCCAGGACUCCUCCGGGAGGCAGAAGUGGGGAAUAUUGAACAAUGGGCGGAAGCCUGAUGCAGCAACGCCGCGUGGGGGAUGACGGCCUUCGGGUUGUAACCCGCUUUCGCCUGUGACGAAGCGUGAGUGACGGUAAUGGGUAAAGAAGCACCGGCUAACUACGUG